AUGCCUAAUUCCCCAAUCCCAUUCCCUGGAAUCCCUGCCCUCCCGUCUCUGAACACCGGCGCUCCCUCGGCGCCGGCCCUGCAUCGAUCUACCCCAUUCAAUAUUUCUCUCUCUUCAAGCAUCUCAAACCAUUUCCGACCAUGGAGGUGUUGAAAGCUUAAUACUGCACUUUCCAACCACGAUUCGCUUCGCUGGGCUCCCCCGCGAUCUACCACCUCGCUUUCCCCCUCCCCCACCGCGAUGCGCCGGCCCUGCAUCGAUCUACCCAUCCCAUCUCCACCACAACUCUCCAUUCCCCGUCGAACUUCGCGGUCACCAAAUUGGAUGACUUCGCGGCCGAGGACGACGACAAGAAGCGCCGAGAUCAUCGCCGGAGAUAAUUCCGAUUCGAUCCAAUCUAUUAUAUCUAUUAUGAAAAUCGAAAUCAAAUUUUCGGCGAAAUGAGGUUUUCUCCUCCAUGAUAGGACUGAAGCAAUAGAAAUUCGAGCUCAGGCUUCUGAACACAGAGAAAACCACUCUUUUGAAGACUUUCCCAAAGAUAUUAAAAGGAAGAUAAUUGCUUCAUACCGUGAGCUAGAGGCUAGAAGAAGCCGAGUUAAAGAGCUAGAGAAGAUAUACAUGGAUAUGGCAAUGCAGAAAGAACUGCAGAAAAAGGGUCGAAAACGAAAGCUUCUUGAAGAUGAAAUUGUUUAUCCAACGGCAGGACCUGUAUUCAAAUGGACAGGAAAUAAAACGCCGAGGGAGAGAGAGAGGGAGAGGGAGUGAGGUGUGCAGCGCAAAUUAAUGUGCUAAUUCAAGAACAUAUUCUCUCCUUUAUUAGCUAGAUCUCUAAAAUUUGGAGCGUGAAUUCAAACAUACAUAAAUUGAUUUUUGUAUCCGUGUGUUUUGUUAUUCUUCUAAUGCUUACACACAA